rnacentral:rRNA from 1 species
CCCGACUGCUAUUUGGGUGAGGAUAUAGCCAUGCGAGUUGUAUGGGAUACCUAAAUUUCCCAUGGCAAACUGCUUAGUAACACAUGAUCAACUUACCCUAUGGAGAAAAAUAACCUCGGGAAACUGAGGAUAAUGUUUCAUAGGUGAAUAGGCUUGGAAAAGUUUUUCAUCGAAAAGGAUAAGAAAAAUGGUUUUUAUCUGCCAUAGGAUAGGAUCGUGGUCGAUUAUGGUUGUUGGUGAGGUAACGGCUCACCAAGCCGACAAUCGAUAGGGGCCGUGAGAGCGGGAGCCCCAAGAUGGGUACUGAGACAGCGACCCAGGCCUUACGAGGCGCAGCAGGCGCGAAACCUCCGCAAUACACGAAAGUGUGACGGGGUUACCCAAAGUGUUCUUUUAAGAACUGUGGUAGGUGAGUAAUAUCCCCUACUAGAAAGGAGAGGGCAAGGCUGGUGCCAGCCGCCGCGGUAAAACCAGCUCUUCAAGUGGUCGGGAUAAUUAUUGGGCUUAAAGUGUCCGUAGCCGGUUUAGUAAGUUCCUGGUAAAAUCGGGUAGCUUAACUAUCCGCAUGCUAGGAAUACUGCUAUACUAGAGGGCGGGAGAGGUCUGAGGUACUACAGGGGUAGGGGUGAAAUCUUAUAAUCCUUGUAGGACCACCAGUGGCGAAGGCGUCAGACUGGAACGCGCCUGACGGUGAGGGACGAAAGCCAGGGGAGCGAACCGGAUUAGAUACGUUGGUGUUAUUUAAAUGUAAUGUAAGAAUUACUAACACAAUGCUAAAAACCCGGGUAGUCCUGGCCGUAAACGAUGCAUACUAGGUGAUGAUACGGCCAUGAGCCGUGUCAGUGCCGUAGGGAAACCGUUAAGUGUGCCGCCUGGGAAGUACGGUCGCAAGGCUAAAACUUAAAGGAAUUGGCGGGGGAGCACCACAAGGGGUGAAGCCUGCGGUUCA